UGGGGAAUUUUGGACAAUGGGGGAAACCCUGAUCCAGCCAUCCCGCGUGUGCGAUGAAGGCCUUCGGGUUGUAAAGCACUUUUGGCAGGAAAGAAACGUCAUGGGUUAAUACCCCGUGAAACUGACGGUACCUGCAGAAUAAGCACCGGCUAAUUACGUGCCAGCAGCCGCGGUAAUACGUAGGGUGCAAGCGUUAAUCGGAAUUACUGGGCGUAAAGCGUGCGCAGGCGGUUCGGAAAGAAAGAUGUGAAAUCCCAGAGCUCAACUUUGGAACUGCAUUUUUAACUACCGGGCUAGAGUGUGUCAGAGGGAGGUGGAAUUCCGCGUGUAGCAGUGAAAUGCGUAGAUAUGCGGAGGAACACCGAUGGCGAAGGCAGCCUCCUGGGAUAACACUGACGCUCAUGCACGAAAGCGUGGGGAGCAAACAGG
rnacentral:rRNA from 1 species